CCCAACUCCUGAAAAUCAGCCUGGGUUCCUCUCCUCCUCUGUGGAGAUGUUCUUCAUUACUGAGAGUGAUGUUGAGGCAAGAGCAGAGAUGCCUGCCUUAGAUGCCAUUAAAGGAAUGAUGAAGAUUCAUCAGGGUAUCAGUGUCUCACCAGGCCAGAUAAAAUACAGGGACAUUACUUGUCUGUGCAAGAAGGAUAGUGGCAUGUUGGACUGUCCUUGUUUUCAGCUCAAAGAGGCAACUCUGGGUGACUCUGCAGCAUCUAACCAGCUCCCUGCAUCUCAUGACGAGGCUGACACCACAUGGCGACCUGGCACCAUUGAACUUAAUCACGUAGGGGAGUGGUGUGUCCAUUAUGACCAUUAAGGAUACCCUGGCAUCAUCAUGGAUGUAGAGGAACAUAACAUCAAGGGGAAGUGCAUGCACCUGAAUGGCAUCGACAAAUUAUUCAGGCCAAGCCCAAAGGAAGAUAUUUGUUGGUACUCUGAUGGACAGAUAAUCUGUCUGAUGCCAGAGCCACAGGCUGUUAAUAAACACUGAGCAGAUGGAAAAAUCCACUUGGAAGUAUGUGGAAGAGCAUUUGGGGUGAACGGGGGGAAAGAUGGAAAGAGGGUGAGGAAGAGAAGGACAGGAAUGUGUUCCAAUGCUAAUUCCAAUGAUUUUUGUAGGGGCAAUGUAUUUGUUGUUUUUCACAAUGAAUAUGUAACUAAAUAGCAGUUCUAAUGUUGUUACUACAUGUAUUACUAUGUAAUGUCUAUUCAGUGUUCAGUAUUCAGGGUUUAAUUUAUGUUCUGUCCCGUUAUAGCUGUGCACCCUGUUAUCUUGGCAUCUUUUUCAAAUUAAUUGAGUUACAUUGUCAAAUAUAAAGAAUUUGUGUAAUGUAUUUUAAAGAGUAAGACACGGCCAACACCACACAAUUAUAAACUUGGAUAAAAUAUCAUUAAUACCCGUCUCAAUUUAGAAAGAUACGGUGCAAAUUAGAUGAAGUUUUGUAUAAAACUUGUACAAAACUUAUUUCUUUAUAAUUUGACCAGAACAAAUGGACAGGGUUGACAAGGGUACACAAUAGCUUUAUGAAAAUGUAAACAUUAAUAAAAUAGUCCAAUGAAAGUAAUUAAAGACAGUUAAGUGCAUAUCCAUAACAGGGUGGACUUAUCAUAUGGCUGAUUCACUGAAAAUGUGUUUAUAAUGAUCUAAGUGCUGGAGCUUGGCCAACAUGUUUUUCUACAAGUCUAAUAUUUCCAUAAAAGGAAUAAAAAUGUUACAUUUUG